UACGGAGGGUGCAAGCGUUACCCGGAAUCACUGGGCGUAAAGGGCGUGUAGGCGGCCCCAUAAGUCCGGCUUUGAAGACCGAGGCUCAACCUCGGGAAUGGGCUGGGUACUGUGGGGCUGGACCUCUGGAGAGAGAACCGGAAUUCCUGGUGGAGCGGUGGAAUGCGUAGAUCCCAGGAGGAACACCGACGGCGAAGGCAGGUUCUUGGACAGAAGGUGACGCUGAGGCGCGAAAGUGUGGGGAGCAAACCGG
rnacentral:rRNA from 1 species